AUUGAACGCUGGCGGCAGGCCUAACACAUGCAAGUCGAACGAGUGGCGGACGGGUGAGUAAUGUCUGGGAAACUGCCUGAUGGAGGGGGAUAACUACUGGAAACGGUAGCUAAUACCGCAUACCAUCAGAUGUGCCCAGAUGGGAUUAGCUUGUUGGUGGGGUAACGGCUCACCAGGGCGACGAUCCCUAGCUGGUCUGAGAGGAUGACCAGCCACACGGGAACGGAUACACGUUCCAGACUCUGACGGGAGGCAGCAGUGGGGAAUAUGGAACAAUGGGCGCAAGCCGUAGGCAGACAUGCCGCGGGUAUGAAGAAGGCCUUCGGGUUUUAAAGUACUUUCAGCGGGGAGGCGUUACCCGCAGAAGAAGCACCGGCUAACUCCGUGCCAGCAGCCGCGGUAAUUC
rnacentral:rRNA from 1 species